GGCGGGGUAGCUCAGUUGGUCAGAGCAGCGGAAUCAUAAUCCGCGUGUCGGGGGUUCAAAUCCCUCCCCCGCUACCA
rnacentral:tRNA from 1 species